rnacentral:tRNA from 1 species
CACUGUGAAGCUAAAUAGCAUUAACCUUUUAAGUUAAAGAUUGAGAAAUUAACUCUCCAUAGUGA